rnacentral:rRNA from 1 species
CGCCUUGCCAGCCCGCUCAGAAACUAAAGGAAUUGACGGGGGCCCCGCACAAGCGGUGGAGCAUGUGGUUUAAUUCGAUGAUACGCGAGGAACCUUACCUGGGCUCAAAUGUAUGUUGACGUAUUCUGAAAGGGAUACUUCUUCGGACAAUAUACAAGGUGCUGCAUGGUUGUCGUCAGCUCGUGCCGUGAGGUGUCGGGUUAAGUCCCAUAACGAGCGCAACCCCUAUCAUUAGUUGCCAUCAGGUCAAGCUGGGGACUCUAAUGAAACUGCCUACGCAAGUAGUGAGGAAGGUGGGGAUGACGUCAAAUCAGCACGGCCCUUACGUCCAGGGCUACACACGUGCUACAAUGGUCGGUACAAAGGGUUGCCAAGCCGCGAGGUGGAGCUAAUCCCAUAAAACCGAUCGUAGUCCGGAUCGCAGUCUGCAACUCGACUGCGUGAAGUCGGAAUCGCUAGUAAUCGUGAAUCAGAAUGUCACGGUGAAUACGUUCCCGGGCCUU